AUUUUUUGGAGAGUUUGAUCCUGGCUCAGGACGAACGCUGGCGGCGUGCUUAACACAUGCAAGUCGAGCGGAAAGGCCCUUCGGGGUACUCGAGCGGCGAACGGGUGAGUAACACGUGAGCAACCUGCCCCUGACUCUGG
rnacentral:rRNA from 1 species